rnacentral:rRNA from 1 species
AACGAACGCUGGCGGCAGGCUUAACACAUGCAAGUCGAACGAGAUCUUCGGAUCUAGUGGCAGACGGGUGAGGAACACGUGGGAACAUCCCUUUCAGUUCGGAAUAACGUUGGGAAACUAACGCUAAUACCGGAUACGUCCUUCGGGAGAGAGAUUUAUCGCUGAAAGAUUGGCCCGCGUCUGAUUAGCUAGUUGGUGAGGUAAUGGCUCACCAAGGCUACGAUCAGUAGCUGAUCUGAGAGGAUGAUCAGCCACAUUGGGACUGAGACACGGCCCAAACUCCUACGGGAGGCAGCAGUGGGGAAUAUUGGACAAUGGGCGCAAGCCUGAUCCAGCCAUGCCGCGUGAGUGAUGAAGGCCUUAGGGUUGUAAAGCUCUUUCACCGAUGAAGAUAAUGACGGUAGUCGGAGAAGAAGCCCCGGCUAACUUCGUGCCAGCCGCCGCGGUAA